AUGGAGCCUGGCUGCACCUCUCCUAGACCCCAUUUAAGGGCUGACUGCCACUAGGGAAGGAUUUCUUUCUAGAGCUCUCUCAUUUUGGAGUUUUUUGCUGUGAGCCUAGGACAUGGGUUAAUGCUGAGGCUUCCCUCCAUCCUUCCUCUUAUUCUAAGGAAGGCUUGAACCAACUUGAACUUCACAAGAAAGACUUGCUCCAUGAAGAUGGUGUGGGGAGUAGAUCUAGUUUGUCCACAAAUGCAGGGACAAUUUUUCAAAAUAACUCUAUUCAGUUUCUUUAAGAAGCUAGCCUCAGUUCUUGGGCUGCCUAAAGAGUAGCUGUGGCUGCAUAAGUAAAUGAAAACUCUGGCGUUAUAUACAUCAGAGUAUAAAAUGCUUUUUAAAUGCAAAGUUUAUUCUGAAAUCAACAGAAGCAUCAUCAGUCAUCAUGAUAAAUUCUAGACAGCAUGCUUUGAGAAGUUAAUCUCACUUAUUAAAAUGAUAAAUGUAGAGGAAUAUGGAACUUGUCAUAGUGGAGUAGACUCACUUCUGCAUUUGAUUCAGUAUCCUGCAUCAAAGCAUGUCAUUGGAUACUACAAAUCUGCUGUGCCUGGCCUCACCAUGUCAAACAAAUUUACUGACUGCCCUCAAGUGUGAAGGUGUCCCAAACAUGUUUGGAACCCUCUAUGUCUUUGAAAGGAUCAGAGUUCUGCUUCUAGAUGCUUUUGGACAUUCAUCCCAUUGAAAUUCACCGGUGACGUUCCUGUGAGUUAUCUCCAUGUUUUAAUGCAACUCCUACCCUUUGAAUGAGUCUUACCCACAAAAUGUAAGCGUAUCAUGUCUGACAUGGGAUAUUUGGCAUCACCUGUGUUUCGGAAUGGAUGCUUCAGAGACAUGGACCUUUUCUGGCACCUACUCUCUGAGAUCACGCAAGGUUGAUCUAGGGGAUGGCUUUAAACUUGUUAGAGAGACCAGUGAGAGAACAGUUCUUACUUGUGGGUCUUUCGGGUAACUGUGGCAGACUAAAAGCACGUGGAGGUAAAUAUUAACGUCACUGACAGCAUUGUCAUCUCCUAGAGUUAAUUAAGGUACUGUCAGCAUAUGACAGCUUUACCCAGUUAUGAACUACUAUCUAAAAUGAAAUAUUACUCCCACAAGUUUAUAGUAAUUCCUUAUACAACUACAGACUGUUGUUUCCAAGCUUUUCUUUUUCCCUUUCUUUUUUUCACUGCUCAGCACUUUCAUUUCAUUUUAGCUGAGCAGAGAUGGGCUUGUGGCUGCUAGUGGUUCACAUCACAUCUACUGGAAUUCAACAUUGCUUCUUGCUACUCCAAGGCUCUGGCUCAGACGUGGGAUGCUUAAAUGGUUCUCUGGACACCUGUAUGAUGAAAAACACCAAAGGCCAAGCAGAGUCUGUUACAAGAGGAGCAGAAAACAUAACUCCUAUCUUCCUGUCACCUUUAUCUGAAUAUCUUUGCAAGUAAAAACUGAGUUUGGGUUGA